GUGGGUGUAGAGGAGGGGACUCAGCACAGCCCUGUGGAGAGCCGGUGGUCCUCCAUGCUGAGAACAGCUGGGGUCCUACUCUCACCCUCUGGGAGCGGCCGGUCAAAAACCCUGAAUCCAUUUCCAGAUGUGAGAGAGACCCAGGUCCCUCUGACUGCUCAGUCUGCUCACAGUGAUGGUGGAAUCAGGUCUCCUUCGGAAACAUAACUGAACGGGUAGUUUGUAGACAGGUCGUCAUAUUCAACUGUGUGUGCAUGCAUGUGUGUGUAGGUGUGUGUUCUGCCAUGGAUCAGUGUGAGGACAGAGAGGAGGGAGUCCCUCCGUCUAAAAGGACUCUGUGUGGAGAACAAGAGAACCAGACCACAGCUCAGAGAUCAGAAGUUGAACCCAGCUGUGUUUCCCUGAAGAGUGACCGGUCCAAGGGAGGAAGAAUAAAUUUUGGAACACACUCUGACUCUGAGUUUCCAUCCAGCUGUGUGUCCCUGAAGAGUGACUGGUCCAUGUUUGAACACAUUGACUUUAAAUGUGGAGCAGGAGGAGCUGAUGAGGGCGUCAGCCAGCAGAGCUCCCAGGCUCUCCGUGGAGGCUCCGCCCCUCAGCAUCAAACACA